UACAGAGGGGCAAGCGUUAUUCGGAAUUAUUGGGCGUAAAGGGCGCGUAGGCGGCCUGGCAAGUGGAAGGUGAAAUCCCUCGGCUUAACCGAGGAACUGCCCUCCAAACUGCUUGGCUUGAGUCCGGGAGAGGUGAGUGGAAUUCCCAGUGUAGCGGUGAAAUGCGUAGAUAUUGGGAGGAACACCAGUGGCGAAGGCGAUCAUCUGGGAUUAACCUGACGCUGAGGAGCGAAAGCCAGGGGAGCAAACGGG
rnacentral:rRNA from 1 species